rnacentral:rRNA from 1 species
AGGGUUUGAUUAUGGCUCAGGAUGAACGCUGGCGGCGUGCUUAACACAUGCAAGUCGAGCGAAGCACUUGGAACGGAUCCCUCGGGUGAAGCUCCAUUUGACUGAGCGGCGGACGGGUGAGUAACGCGUGGGUAACCUGCCUCAUACAGGGGAAUAACAGUUUGAAAAGACUGCUAAUGCCGCAUAAGCGCACAGGGCCGCAUGGCCCGGUGUGAAAAACUCCGGUGGUAUGAGAUGGACCCGCGUCUGAUUAGCUAGUUGGUGAGGUAACGGCCCACCAAGGCGACGAUCAGUAGCCGACCUGAGAGGGUGACCGGCCACAUUGGGACUGAGACACGGCCCAA